AAAAUGUCUUAGAAAUUAGAAAUUCGUAUUUUCAUCUGUUAGGCAGUUUUGAGCUGCAGGUAAGAAUACAAAAAAAUAGCAAUAAGCAACAAAGUUUAUUAUUCUCACAGACAGGACUUUCAUAAGAAAAGAGGUACAGGGUUGGUUCAGAUGCUUAAAAAUGUAUGGCCUCUGAGUCAUUUCUUCUAUAAUUUUCUUGACCUUCUUUUCAGUUACAAUAUGGCUACGGAAGCUCCAAGUAUUACAUCUUCACACAUCAAUGUCUAAAAUUAGGGGGAAAACUGAGCUUCUUUAACAAGUCUUUCUUUUUCUUUUUCUUUUUUUUUUCUUUUUUUUUUUCACCAGGGUACAAAAUGAAAGACCUAGAAGGCAUUUCUUCUAAUUCCAUUGGCCAGAACUAGGUUAUAUAUCCAUUCUUGCCUUUAGAGAGACUAAGAACGUGAAUGUCACACAGAUGGGAUCUCACAAAGGAAGUGGGUGGCAUGGAUUCUUGUUUAGAGAAUAAUUCAAGUAGAUUCAAAUGGAGAGAUUAACAUGGCAGUGAUAUCGAGGAUAACAAAAUCAAUUUUACUGUAAGUACCAUGUGUGAAGAAAGAUGUUCAACAUCAAUGCUCUAGUCUUUCAGCCUGACAUUUCUUUGUGAAGUGGGCAGAAAAUUAAAUUGCCUGAAAUUAAAGGAGAAAAGCACACACCAUGAAAAGUAACAUGCCCAAUGACAGUUGAGGUCGUGCUUCCACUGAGGUCAAGUGAGCCUCCCUGGAUGUCAGUUAACCAAAAAGAAAAGAUAAUGGGUGGAGACCAGAGAAAACUUUCUUGGAUAUUAGCUGGCUGCCAACUUGGUAGUAGUUCACACAGACCCACAACAAUAGCCAAGGUGCUAGAAAGAAAUUUACAGCCAUGGGCAGAGUGUGGCAUAACCAUAAAUUUUAAGCACAUUCUUUAUCUCCGAUAAGCAUAUUCCCUAAAGCACAGUCAUAUUUCCCUAUUAAUGUUAAUUCCAUAUCUGUCCAAUUGUUUAACUCACUCAGCAAUUAGUUAGUUGUCUAACUAGAUACAGGAAAAUCUUCUACAGGUUAACUGCAUGUUACAUAAAAGAGAGUUUUCUAUGUCCCAUUUUCUCUGAGUUGUCUGUUACAUACACAUUUAUUUUUACAAGGCAUUUAUUAUUUUACAACUAUUAUAAAGCUUAUAUUAAUCUUUACAUAAUAAAAAUGCAAACAAAGCCCACUCUGCCAUUCAUUCUCAGCAUUAAAAAUAAUCCUGACUUUGAAAAAUGAGCCUCAAAAUCAAAGAGCUAUUUCCAGAAGAAUUAAAUGAGUAAGAUUGUAUCCAUUUGUUGCUGCCACAAAUAAAGGGAAUAUACAUAUACAUGCCCUACUAUGUGCCAUAUACAUGUCUCUAAAAAAUUUCAUACUAAUUCAAUUUUCACAAUAACCUAUAGGCUUGUUUUACUAGCAUAGAUGAGCAAACUAUGUAACAGAAAAGUUAAAUAACUUGCACAAUUUAAUACAUCUAGAAAAGAAAAAUUCAGGAUGCAAAUGCAGGUCUCUUUGAUUCUACAGAACGGUGCUCAAUUUAAACAUUUAUAUAAAAUUAUCCAGUACCUCAUUAACUAGUCAUCUUUUCCAAAGCUAAGGAAAUGGUUUAUUUUUUUUUUCCAUGAAAUUAUCAGUUGUGAUGGUAAUGUGAGGUGUUCUUGCAUUGUUCUAUUUUCAUGUACCCACAUCUGUGUGGGUAUUAGAAGAUGAAUCAACAGCAAGAAGGUUCCUAACUACUGUUCAACCAACUGAAGAAUUACUAUAGACAGAGAUAAUUGAUAGUCUCAAAUUUUGAGUAUUUCUGAAAACUGGCUUAUUGAAAAAUAGAUUGUGAUAUUACAGAGAUUAUUUUGCAAGAAUAAAAUAAUAGGAGAUAUCUUCAGAGAAGAGACAUUAUGGAAAGAUGUAAACUAGGGAUAUAUGAAAGCUUACCAGUUGGGGAAGGGACACUCUUCAAUACAUGGUGCUUGGAAAACUGGAUAUCCACAUACAGAUAAAUGAAACUAGAACCUGUCUCUCACCAUACAUAAAAAUCAACUCAAAAUGGAUUAAAGACUUAAAAGUAAGGUCCUAAACUAUGAAACUAACAGAAGAAAAUACAGAGAAAAUGCUUCAUGACCUUGGUCUGGAAAAAGAUUCUUUGGAUAAGACCUCAAAAGCACAGACUAAAAAAGCCAACAUAGACAAAUGGGAUUACACCAAACUAAAAAGAUUCUGCACAGCAAAUAGAACAAUCAACAAAGUACAGAGACAACCUACAGUAUAGAAGAAAAUAUUUGCAACCUAUGCAUCUGACAAAGGGUUAAUUUCCAGAAUACAUAAGGAACUCAAAAAACUCAAUAGCAAAACCCUAAAUAAUCUGAUUUUUAAAAAGCAAAAUAUAUGAAUAAACUUUUAUCCAAAGAAGAUAUACAAAUGGCCAACAGAUAUAUUUUAAAAAUCCUAAUAUUCAGAGAAACGCAAGUCAAGACCACAAUGAAAUAUCAUCUCACUCCAGUUAGAAUGGUUAUUAUCAUAAAGAGAAAACAAAUAAUAAAUGCUGGUGAGAGCGUGGAGAAAUAGGAACUCAUAUACUGUUGGUAGGAAUGUAGAUUAGUAAGGCAUUAAGGACAACAAUAUGGAGGUUUCUCAAAAAAUUAAAAAUAGAACUGCCAUAUGAUCCAGCAAUCGUGCUCCUGGAUAUUUAUCCAAAGGAAAUGAAAUCAGUAUAAUUUCUGAUAUCUGCACUGUCAUGUUCAUUGCAGCACUAUUCACAAUAGCCAAAAUAUGGAAACAACCAACAUGUCCAUCAACAGAUGAAGGGAUAAAGUGUAGAUAUACAAAAUGGAACACUAUUUAGACAUAAAAAUAAUGGAAUUGUGUCAUUCACAGCAACAGGGAUGAGCCUGCAAGACAGUAUAUUAUGCAGAAGUCAUGCACAUAAAGCUAAACAAUACCUCAUAUUCUCAUUCAUAUGUGGGAGAUAAGAAGAUGAGCAUAUAGAAGUAGAGAGUAGAAUUGUGGCUAUUAGACCCUGAAGGAUAUGGGAGAGGAGAGGAUAUGGAGAGUUUGGUUAGCAGGUACAAAAUUACAGCUAGAUGUAAGAAAUAAGUUCCAGUGUUCUACAGCACUGUAGGGUAAGUACAGUCCACAAUAAUUUAUUGUAUAUUUUCAGAUAACUGGAAGAGAAGAUUUUGAAUGUGCCCAAUACAAAGAAAUAAUAAGUUUGAGGUGAUGGGUAUGCUAAUUACCCAUAUUUGAUCAUUACAUACCAUAUAUAUGUGUUGAAAUAUCACUCUGCAUUCCAUAAAUAUGUGCAAUUAUUUCAUUUCAAAUAAAAAUAAAAGAAAAAGUGCU
rnacentral:lncRNA from 1 species